AUUGAACGCUGGCGGCAGGCCUAACACAUGCAAGUCGAACGGUAACAGGAAGCAGCUUGCUGCUUCGCUGACGAGUGGCGGACGGGUGAGUAAUGUCUGGGAAACUGCCUGAUGGAGGGGGAUAACUACUGGAAACGGUAGCUAAUACCGCAUAACGUCGCAAGACCAAAGAGGGGGACCUUAGGGCCUCUUGCCAUCGGAUGUGCCCAGAUGGGAUUAGCUAGUAGGUGGGGUAACGGCUCACCUAGGCGACGAUCCCUAGCUGGUCUGAGAGGAUGACCAGCCACACUGGAACUGAGACACGGUCCAGACUCCUACGGGAGGCAGCAGUGGGGAAUAUUGCACAAUGGGCGCAAGCCUGAUGCAGCCAUGCCGCGCGUAUGAAGAAGGCCUUCGGGUUGUAAAGUACCUUCAGCGGGGAGGAAGGGAGUAAAGUUAAUACCUUUGCUCAUUGACGUUACCCGCAGAAGAAGCACCGGCUAACUCCGUG
rnacentral:rRNA from 1 species